rnacentral:tmRNA from 1 species
GGGGGCGUAAAUGGUUUCGACGGGGAUAUAGAAGGAAGAUAAGCGAGUCGUUGUCGCCAAACAACGCAAAAAGUGGCAACUAAAAUAAACGCAAAAGAAAACAAUAAUUUAGCAUUCGCUGCUUAAUUGCAGCUUGCUUGUCCCGCUUAACCGACCUGCAGGUUAAAACGGGGCAUCAUCUAAAGCAGGGAACUGUAUCAGGGGUUCUUCGACCUGAUGCAGAACAAUUGAAGAUAGCAGAGAUUGCAGCCUGACCAUAGGCGGCAGUCAAAGCGAAUAAAAAAAUAUGGUCUGCACUCGGAGAAAGUCUUGUGGAAAUAUUUUCGGACGUGGGUUCGACUCCCACCGCCUCCA